rnacentral:rRNA from 1 species
GAUGAACGCUGGCGGCGUGCCUAACACAUGCAAGUCGAGCGGAGAAUUGUUGCUUGCAUCAAUUCUUCGCGGCGGACGGGUGAGUAACACGCGGGUAAACUGCCCUAAACACUGGGAUAACAAUGAGAAAUCAUUGCUAAUACCGUAUAAGCUUACACUAUCGCAUGAUAGAGUAAGAGAAGAUUUAUCGGUUUAGGAGGGGCCCGCGGCUGAAUAAGUCGUUGGGGGGGUAACGGCACAACAAGGCGAUGAUCAGGAGGCGGCCUGAGGGGGUGGGCCGCCACAGGGGGACAGAGACACGGCCCAAACUUCUACGGGGGGCAGGAGGGGGGAAUUGUGCAAAAGGGAGGAAACUCUUAUACAACAACGGCGCGGGGAAGAAGGAGGUUUUCGGAGUGGAAACUUCUAUCUACAGGGGAAAAAAAAAUGACGGUACCUGGGUAAGAAGCCCCGGCUAACUACGUG